AUCUUUUUGUCUUUUCUUCUCCGGCGAGAGACUACAAUGGACUCUCCGGUAUCAAAAACCGAUGCAUCGAAAGAGAAAUUCGUGGCUUCACGACCAUCAACGGC
rnacentral:sRNA from 1 species